AAUGGCUGCUCUAAAACGCCUUGGUGUAAACAACCCGGGGAAGGACUUCCUUGAACUGCCAGUUACCUGAGCGCCAUCCAUCUCACUAAAGCGUCUGCCCCAAGAGGGGUAGUACCGCCAGGAAAGAAAACAAAUAAAAGACACCCAGCAUGUCGCAGCGCAGGCACAGGGUGGGGAAUGCUGUCCCCUGGAGGGGCUGAGGGAUCCUCAGCAAGGUCCAAGAGAAGACUGCUACCCUGCUGUGGUGCAUAGAAUGAAGAAAACUGCCUUCCUGCUCCCUCCACGUGCCUCCAGUUCAGCUGCUCCCAGUCCACGAGGAGUCGUUGGCACUUGAUGUUGCUAAAUGUAUGUAAGACUUUGCUUUCAGCCUCACC
rnacentral:lncRNA from 1 species